UGAGUAACCUGCCCUUAACUCUGGGAUAAGCCUGGGAAACUGGGUCUAAUACCGGAUAUGACUCCUCAUCGCAUGGGUGGGGGGUGGAAAGCUUUUUGUGGUUUUGGAUGGACUCGCGGCCUAUCAGCUUGUUGGUGAGGUAAUGGCUCACCAAGGCGACGAUGCGUAGCCGACCUGAGAGGGUGAUCGGCCACAUUGGAACUGAGACACGGUCCAGACCUCCGUACGGGGAGGNAG
rnacentral:rRNA from 1 species